UUGGAGAAGUCGGUUCGGCGAUUCGCCGAGCCUACGCGAAGUUAUUAAAGAAACGGAUGCUUAGGCUUCGUUUCUGCCUGGAGGGCCAAGGCGGCGUCUAAAAAUCAUGAAAACGGAUUUGGGGCACCGUGACACAUAACUGAAGACCUAUAAUUUUCGGGGCUGCCAAGCGGCGUGCGGUUGGUGCGCAAUUGCGAGAUCGGGCCAAAUCGGAUAGUGGGUGCCGCGGGAGGCCGAUUGCAAGUGUCGACAAGCAAUCGGAACGUGAUAACAGAGCCUUCGGCACCGGCGGAGGCACGGGAUCGCGGCAAGGGUGUCGCCUAGCUAGAUAGAGAGAGGCUACUUUUGAGCUUAGGCCUGGACACGCGCCGGACGGGCUUCCGCUGGGUCCCGGGGCGUGACAAUAGCGCCCUACUACCGAGACCAGAGAUAGCGGCACCUGAGUCAGCCAAGCUAAGGGCUGUAGAAAAGAAAAGAGAAAGAAUCAAACUUGUAAUAAUCUUGUGAUAAUUGAUUGUAUUCGGAAGUUUAAAUGUAUUUGAAAGGAAAGGAAAUGUAAAGGUUUCAAAUGAGAUGAAUGCUUGUAAUAGCUUAGUGGUUUUAUGUUUUUGAUA